CUUAAAACAUGUAAUCUUCUGAAGUUAAAUUGUUGACAUGGUUAUGCAUUUAUGCUUUUGUUUUGUGUCUCUUCUGAUUCGGAGUCUUUCUCCUGGCUUAACAGGUUCGCUUACCUGUACUCACUGAAGACAUAGCAACCGAAGUUCAACUAGGUUUUUUUUAAUGGAAGACAUGGAGCCAAAGCUUGCAAUUAAGAAGGAUUUUACUGAAUUAAUUGGGGCAACCCCAAUGGUGUACCUGAACCACAUUGUGGACGGUUGCACAGCGCGAAUUGCUGCUAAGCUAGAGUCAAUGCAACCCUGUUCUAGUGUCAAAGAUAGGAUAGCGUUGAGCAUGAUUGAAGAUGCUGAGGCAAAAGGCCUCAUUACACCCGGAAAAACCGUUCUUGUGGAGGCGACUAGUGGCAAUACCGGUAUAGGACUCGCGUCGAUAGCAGCAUUGAAGGGUUACAAGCUCCAAGUGACUAUGCCAUCUCUUGUGAGUCUUGAGAGAAAAAUUGUAUUGUUAGCCUUUGGAGCUGAGGUGUAUCUGACAGAUCCUGCUAAAGGAGUCGCUGGGGUUUUCCAGAAGGCAGAAGAGCUAGUAGCCAAGAAUCCUAAUAGCCAUAUGCUCCAUCAAUUUGAGAAUCCUGCAAAUCCAAAGAUUCAUUACGACACCACUGGCCCAGAGAUUUGGCGAGACUCGGGAGGCAAAGUUGAUGCUUUGGUUGCAGGGAUCGGAACUGGGGGUACAAUUCAAGGCGCUGGAAAAUUCCUCAAGGAGAAAAACCCAGAUAUCAAGGUGUAUGGUGUUGAACCAGCUGAAAGUGCAGUUCUAAACGGAGGAACCCCAGGAUUUAGAAGUCAAGGAAUACAAUGCUUUACUUUCAUCAAUGUAUCAAUUACUAUAUAUCAAAGUACAUUUGUUUAUCUACCGAAGAAGAGAAUCGGAGCAAUAGAAGAUAAUGAAGCCCUGCUGCAGGAACAGGAAGACUGUCAACAAAUCAGAUAUCUGGUCUAACUGAUUCAGAUUAAUUGAUGCAGGUCAAUUUCAUUGUCUUCAGACCUGAGAGUGUGACUGGAUUAAUAGUAGGUGGUUGCCAUGAAAACCAAUGUGAAGUCUCAAGCAUGGAAGUCACAUUGUUUAAUUUACUAGUCUCUCGACAUUGAAAAACAAAGAUAGACAAAUUAGUCCUCCUAUGCAUUUAUUUCGUAUGGAAGAACUAAGCUGUAGCCCCUUUACGAAUGGUGCAAGAGCUGAGAGGAAUGUCAUUGUCAAAUCCUAAGCAAUGACUUUGUCCUUCAUGUGUUUUGUCAGGCAUCAGGGGUUUACUCUAUUUUUAUAUUUAUUAUUAUGACAUGAAGCUGUUUACUAAUUGUUCUCUCUAUUUGUGCAAAUGUCAAAGGUAAGCAUCUUAUCCAAGGGAUUGGUGCUGGUAUCAUUCCCCAUGUGCUUGAUGUUAAUCUCCUAGAUGAAGUUAUUCAGGUUACAAGUCAAGAAGCUAUUGAAACAGCUAAGUUGCUCGCCUUGAAAGAAGGUUUGCUGAUGGGAAUUUCAUCAGGAGCCGCAGCAGCAGCUGCAAUAAAAUUGGCGAAGAAACCAGAGAAUGCCGGAAAGCUCAUUGUUGUGAUAUUCCCCAGUUUUGGAGAGCGUU